rnacentral:piRNA from 1 species
GUUGACUCUGGUGUAGUCUCAUG